CGGACAGCGAGGACACUGCCCCGGGGAUUUUUGACUGCAGGCCUUUCUGCCUCCCAUGUUCAGGGAUGGGCCGCCCUGAGAACACAGACGGUGCUGACAACUCAUGUUCCAGAUGGACUCAGCUGGCAAGUGUUUGAGACGUGUCUCAGCAUCCUGUGAUGUGUUCCUGGGCCUCUGGGCCCUGUGCGCGGCGGAAGGAAUGAAGAGGGCAGAGCAACCACUGCGCUGUUGGCCCCAGUGCCCUUCUACUUCGUAGUCCUGGAUUCUCAUGAAGCUUAACCACAAAAGAGAUCGAAAACACCCUGGUUUGAAUGGAGCACUCAGGGCUCCUCCCGCAGUUCUCACUCAGCAUUAGUGAUACAGCGGUUGUGUGGGUCACAGCAGAUGUAAUUUUCAGAAGGGUAACUGGAGGGUUUAGAGUUCAGUGUGUAAACUGAACCCUAAGGAGCAUGAGGCAAUGGGCAGGGUUUUCUCUCACCGAGGAAAUCUCUUGGUCCAGAGUAAACUUUAAGCAAUUGUGUUUUGUUGACUCUAAGUUUCAAGACUAAUCAAGUAUCUACUGUAGUUUGGAAGGCUCCCUGCUGAACUCUGUUUUUAUCUGUUAAUUUCGUGUUUCCGUCUUCCUUGGCAGUAGGCACCAUUUAGGUGAUAGUAGGUUAGAUAGUCGCCUCAGUGAGGCAGGAGGAGAGUAGAAAGAUUCUGUUAAGUAGAUAAUAGAGAGGUUUAGAAUUGUUGAGUGAUUAUAUUAGAGCUCCAGGUGGGCAGGUCUUCGGGGUAAAAGCAGGAGGGCAGGGUUGGAGCUAUACCAACAGGCAGAGCACUUAGUACAUACCAGACAUUGUGGGGAACCUUUACAAGUACUAUCUCAUUUCAUGCUCAUAAGAAUCCAUGAGGUGGGCACAUCACAGAUGAAGAGACUGAGGUUCAGAGUAGUCAAGUUAAUUGCCCGAAGACACACAGCUAGACUUCUUGGGGGCAGAGCAAUCACUCUGACUCCAGGACCCUGCACUCUUAGUCUGUCUCUUUAAAAGCUCCACGAUUGCUCUGGAGUUUGUAUUCCCUGCUCCUGAAAGAGUGCUUAGCAAGUAGGAGGUGCCCCCGACAUAUUAGUCAGCUGAAUGUGUACAUUCUCCAUGCUGCCUUGGCCUGGGUCAAGGUCAGUGUGCUCCACCAGUCAGGGAGACCUGGAAGCUGCAUUUAGAUGGCCUUUCAAACUUCUCCAAACUUUCUGUUCAAACUUAGAACUUCCUGGAUAAUUGUCACAUUAAUGCACCCUCUUUAUUGUAGCAGAAUGAAAAUACAUAUUUAAAAGUGGUGAUUAUCGUGGUUAUCACAGAGUUAUUUUUAAAAGCAAAAAAAAACAGGUAAUUACUGAAUGUCCGAUGGCAAGGAACUGGUUAAAUAAAUCAUGGAACGCAAUGACUUAACAGGUGUUAAAAAUCAAGUUAUGGAAUACCCCAUGGCAUAAAGCGCAUUCUUAAUACAUCAUUCAGGGGGAAAACAGGUUGCAAAAUGCUACAUAGAGCAUUAGCUCAGUAAUGCACAUGUAUUCGUGCAGAGAGAAAAGUCUGGAGAAAAAUAUACUAACAUGUUCAUAGCAGUUACUUCUGUGCAGCAAGAGGAUGGGCAGUUUUAAUUUUCUUCUUUAUGAUGUUUAAAAUUUUGCUUUCAAAUUUUCUACAAUAACUAUUAACUUUACAUUCUGAAAAAAGCAAUAAUGUGAUUUUUAAAAAAGCAGUUAUAGUAAAAUUUGGAUCCUUGUUUUAAAAUUAAGAUAUGAACUUGUAAUCUAGUGAAAGACAGCAUAGUGUAGCUGGGGAGAACGUGGACAGUGGAGCCAAACCGCCGGUGUCCAAGUCCCAGCCCCACCGUUUACAAGCGUGACCUUGGCUAAAUGCCUUACCUGUGAUUCAGUUGUAUGUAUGCAAAACGGAGGAGCAAUCACUUCCUCCCUCAAAGAGUUGUUAUGAGGAUUAAAUGGAUUAGUCUAUCUAAAGCAGUUACAACAGCCCGGAUGAAUUUAUUACUAUUUUAUCAUUAAAAAAUCUCUCAGAUUCCCUCAUCCCAUCUCUAAAAUGCACAGGCAAGGGCACGCCGGGGGCCGGCAGGCAGAGCUGCUCACCUGAGCCUCUGGUUCAAACGCGUGAGGAGGAUGUGCCAGGAGGACCCCAGGAGGAGGUCCCGCUGGGCCUCCCAGGGCUGUGUCACCAUGAAAAUAAGCGGAUUUUGCAAAGACUCUGAUUUAUUAUGUCCUCACUUACUAGCCAAAUUAGCCAAAAUAUAGUUACAACCAGGAAAAAAGUGAAAAUAGAUUUGAAAAAAAUUCUUCCUAUUUUAACCCUCAAAUCAGCGUCUACCCUGACCCCCAAACGUAAGCCGCCUUGUGAACUUCACGCCUCAUCCUUCACCCUCCUCACACCCUCCCCUCGGCCAGCGCCCCACUCCGCUCCCAGGCCUGGCUUUAGUGACUGAGCCCCACACGGGGGAGGCUGAACUCCACGGCAGCCCGCGCCGGCCCUGACCUCUCGGCCCGCCGAGGUCCUGGGAAAGGGAGCCGGACCUGACCCCGGCAGGAGGGGGGAGUGGCAGUGAGAUGCCCCCCCAGGACCCGCUCCCAGGCUGGCCUUAUCCUGCCGUGGGGGCUGGGAUUUCCUGCCCGGAAGCACAGGCCUGGACACAAUGGGAGUUAUCAGUCACCAUCGGGGGAUCAGGACCACAGUAGGAGCCCUCCACUUAGCUGUGGGGUUUCCAGGCCCUUCCUGUGUGAAUCUUUACUUCCGUGGAAGCUCUUGUUUGGGCCUCUUCCAAGAGGGAAGCCCCUCCCCCGGCUUCCCACCCUCUGCGGCUUUGGGUCGGCUACCUCUCCCUUCCCAUCCUUUGGGUCCUCCUUUAGGCUGAAGUCAACUUAGGCUGGGAAUGACCAGAGCCUAGGUAAGGAAAGUGUUUCCUGCUCUUUCUAGAUCUGUUUUGCUUUUUUAAAUUAUAGAUGAAAUUGCUAUAUUAACUUAAUUGUCUUCCAUGAUGAUGAUAAUAAUUCCAUCAACUGA